rnacentral:lncRNA from 1 species
AGCGGCGCCUGUCCUUGCUGCUGUCGUUCUUUCUCCUGUCUCCCGGCCGGCCAGGCUGCUGUCUUUGUUGCCAAGCUCAGACGUCGCUCCUGAAACCCAGCCCAGCCUCCGCGAAGCCCGGAAACUUCGAGUUCAGCGACUGUGCACGAAGUUGGAGCAGCGAGGCCAGAGAGAGGGGCAUUAGUACCCGGAGCUGGCCGAGUUUCGUGACCCGGACUACGGCAGAGCCUACUUCUAGGGACCUCCAGACAGUCCUGGCGGUGGCCAUGAACUUGACCCCGUGCUCCUCCUGCCUGCAUCGCCCCGGGGCUCCGGUUGACCUGGUAAAGCGCUCCGCCCUCUGCUCUCCCCAAGCUGGGGGUCUGGGGUGGGUUUAGCGGCUGAAGUUGGAGGGGGCAGCCAGGGGCUCGCGUUGGGGCCGCCCUGGGGUGCAAUCUGGGUCCUAGCCUGUGCAGCCCAGCCUCGCACAAAGGAAGGUUUCAGAGUUAGGCCGGGAUUGCUCCGCUGAGACAGUUUCCUUCCUGCAACCAGGGCUCUUAAAGGGGAGAGAAAAAGAUUAUGCACUUAGGCUCUCUGCUGGGUGUUUUUGUUGCACAUGGCCCCUUUUGGGACAUAGUGGGGAGGGGGAGGAGUUAGCCUUCCUAGACUGGUCUGGCCAGAGGCAGUAGAGUCAACCGGGGGCUUCACUGCCAGAGUGGCAGGCAUUGUUUCGGAUGCCCCCUCCUUCCCCCCCCCGCCCCCCUCCCCCUCCCGGCGAAAAGACCUGAGCUACUUCCCUGUAGCCUGAAAGGUAGAACAGUGGUUACCGUUAUGCUACCCGAGGUCAGCCAGGGUGUGAGUGGGCAUGGCCAGUGCUAGCAACACAGGCAGCUGUGGUGGACAGAAGGUCUAAGGGGGAGAGACACAUAGGGACCCUACAGAGCCUGGUUCAGCCUCUGAGACCACUUGAGGACUCCACUUCUCAGCGCCAUCCCCCUUUACCUGAAAUAAGUACUUGCCUAAAGAACGACCUGGUAUAUGUAUGUGAGGAGUCUCCAUGAGGUUGAACUCUGCUCCCCAAUCCACAGACUGUAGCAAGCUCCCAGAGAUCUGCCCUGGGCCAGCAAGACUAUAACCAGGCACCCCAGCCCCGAUGUUGGCCAAGUCCCCAGCUGUCUAGAGGUCAGCCAUAACCCACAGAUGUCCCUUGGGCAUCUGGGACCACAGAAGCUCUAGGGACUUUGGGGGUGGGGGAAACCCAGGUAUGAACUAGAGGUGUGGCACCCUUGGUCCCAUUAGGCUACCUGUCCUCAAUACCCCAUACCCUCUAGUAGGUUCUCAUACAAGGGUCUGGAAAGAAGAAUGCCAGACCUUCAUAAAAUUGAGGCGGUGGUGGCAUGUGUCUUUAACCCCAGCACUCAGAUGGCAGAAGCAGGUGGAUCUCUGUGAGCUGCAGGAGAACCAGGGCUACACAGAGAAACCCUGUCUUGAAAACCAAAUGAAAGAAAGAAGUUAUGAGAGAAGGAAAGGCAGAAAGAAAGAUUUACAGGAUAAGGAGACAUCAUGUCCCAGCCCAGGUUCUUGAACAUUCGUGUGAAUAUGCUCAUGUUAAAAGAGCAGGCUUCCUGGUGCCUUGGCAACUUAGUCAGAGCCUUGAGGAGGAAGCCACCUAGAUCUGGGAGGCAGAUGUGUGCUCAUUCACUAUCCUUCGUGGAGAAGUUGAGUUGCCCUCUCAGGCUAGAUUUGAUGGUGUGAGAUGAUUCCAAAGUUAGAAUCUGCCCCACGCCCCAACAAGAUUCCCAGCACUGCAGGGAUGGUUCGAUGGGUUAGAGCGCUUACUGGCUGGGCAUGGUGCCAAUAUGUCUUUAAUCCUAGGGCCCAGGAGGCAGAGGUAGGCGGAUCUCUGUGAGUACAAGGCCAGACUUUAUAAAUAGUAAGUUCUAGAACAGCCAGGGCUCUGUAGGGAGACUCUGUCUCAAAACACCGGAACAAGCAGAAAGAGGACUUGCUGCUCUUCCAGAAGAAGGGUUCCAAUGUUUGGUUCUUAGCAUCCACUUUCGGUGGCUCAUAACAACCUGUAAUUCCAGCUCCAGGGGAUCUGAUGCACCUCUUCUGGCCUACACACACACACACACACACACACACACACACACACACAGACACACACACAGACACACACACACAGACACACACAGACACACACACACACACUUAAAAACAUUUCUUUCUUUCUUUUUUUAAAGAAAAGACUCCAGACCUAUCUUGGCCCCAGAGCUCUGUUCAGUCAACGCCCAUGAUGGUCAGAUGCCAUAAGGGAGACAGGAUGCAGGAAGCGGGUCUGAACUUGAACUUUGUUCCUAUCCCAGGUGGUAAGAGACAUGGUGUUGAAUGCCUGGGCAUUUGUGUACUGUUACCCUGACAGGGUCAUCUCUGGACACACAGAGCCUGCCUCUCUGCAUCCCAGGACUACCCCAUCUUAGCAGAAUAGCAUUUGCAUGAGCUUCCACAUCCUCACUGGUUACAGAGUUCUGACUCAUGCUCUCUGGGAGGGUCAAGAUGAUAUUUGCAUCUCCUUGCUAAGUUCCCCCAAAAGUACCCACCAAUCAUUCGGGAAUCAGAGCCCCUGAUACCGGAUUGGUGGUCAAGAGCCCAUGCUCCUGCCUCCUCUCUUGGGUCAUCUGUCUUUGAGGGGGUCCAGAAAGUUCUCUUUUGGUGGGUUUUUUGCUUCUCCUUUCUCCUUCUACUGAGCCCAUCCCUGAGGGGACUGAGAGGCAGGGGAGAAGCUGCCCUGGGUAGUGCCAGCCUCAAGACCAGGUUCUCUACACCUAUGUCCCAAUCAGAGAAUCUCUUUUCUGGAUAGUGCACAGGCUGCUGGCCCUAUGGGUCUCUUGAAUGCCUGCAGAGACAGGCAACUCUCUACUUCCCUGUGGAUGCUGUUGCAUUGCUAUUGAAGGAAACCAUCCAAGUCCCCUUCAGCAUUACUUGAGGGGGGACAAAGUUAAGGGGCAGAUAACAGCUUUAUGCUUCACUGGGGAAAGCACUCCUAAGAAGGUCCUGAGAACACAGACUCAUUUCCAUCUCUAUUACUUAUUAUUUACAAACCUGAGCCUCAUUUCCCGUUUUUGCUAACACCCCACUUAGUAACACCCCAGGUCUGUGUUGGUGACCUCCACUAAUCUGCUAACAAGGAAGUCUCUUUCCCUGGGGAUAUUUAUCUACUCUAGUUUUCUGCAGUUAGAUUCCCAAUUUUGGAAAAAUCUGGAUGAAACAUAAGGGGAAAAAAAGGGGGGAGUCGUGGAGUGGCAAAGUGGCAAAUCUGGAAGCCUCACGCAGAGAGGGGACAUCAAAGUCCAGCUGUGAGGAGGCCUGUGUGCUUUGUCUCAGCCUCUGUAUACUGUGACACCGCAGUGGAGCAAGGAAGUGUAUUCAAAAGUGGAUUAAGAAUUUCAAGAUGGUGACAAUGACAAAUUUAACAGAAUGUAGGGCCUUUCCAAACUCAGGUGCCUGCUGAAUACUGGGCCUGUGUGGUAGCAGAUGGUCCCAAGGCACAGACUGGUGGCUUGUACCCAUUCUUGCUGAGGCUUGGGGAGAGCAUAGGCACUCAUUCUGAAGUCUCACCAUUCCUCUUCCUAGGUGUGCGUGGGCAUGUGCGUGGUGCAUGUGUGCAUGGGGGGCAUGUGCAUAUAUAUGUGUGUGUGCUUGCCUCUGUGUGUGUGCAUGUAUGUGUGUGUGUGCAUGUAUGUGUGUGUGUGCAUGUAUGUGUGUGUGUGCAUAUAUAUGUGUGUGUGCUUGCCUCUGUGUGUGUGCAUGUAUGUGUGUGUGUGCAUGUAUGUGUGUGUGUGCAUGUAUGUGUGUGUGUGCAUGUAUGUGUGUGGGCAUGUGUAUGGUGCAUGUGUGCAUGGGGGGCAUGUGCAUAUAUAUGUGUAUGUGCUUGCCUCUGUAUGUGUGCAUGUAUGUGUGUGUGAGUGUGUAUGUGUGUGUGUGCAUUCUAUGGUACACUUAGAUUAUUUUGGAUCCUCCCUAAAGAAGAAAAACCAUCUAUUUAUUACCUUUGAAUCCACAGAUUGCACCUACUGGAAACAACUCACCCAUCGUCCACAAGAACUAAACAUAUCAGUGUCUGUUUCGUACCUCACCUCAUGUGUACCCCACUAAGUAACUGAUCUCAGCUCUUGGCUAAGGGGAGAUCCCUGGGUGCAUUUCCCCAGCCAGUCCCCUCAUCACUGGGCAUGAAGAUUCUUCCUAGACUCCUUUGCUGUUACCACAGCACAGAAAGCAAACAUGCCCUGUUUCCCAAGGCUGUGAGCCCAUUCAAGAGCCCCUGUCAGUCUGCUAAGGGAGCGUUUUUAGUUUUGGAAGCUUCUUGGGGGUAUCUGGAGUUUCAUCUGGCUCAAGUGCUUCAAUCCCUUGACUUUUGUGGGUGACAGACUGAUGUCAUAGCUCUGGCACCUACAGUGGUCCUUUUAUCCAUCGUCUUAGGAAUCCCAUGCUGGCUGCUGCUCUUAUGGUAGGAGAACACGGCAAUACUCACAGAGCUGACAGAGUCCCCGCCCCUUGCCCCAUAACAUCAAACUAUGGAGGAGAUAUGAGAGACCACAAAUGGAGAAAUAGGUGGCCUGGACCACGGGACUCAUUGGAUAGGGUUGGAAUGAACUAGCUUGGUGGCCAUUCAUAGGCAGUGCUCAGUAGGUAAAUGAGCUAUGUCUGUGGAGUGGUCACCCUGUCUACCUGGGUCCUUGCAUUAUUCUUCACCCUCAGGGCCACUGAGGUUGUAGCCAGAACAGCCAAUGGGGUUAGAAAUCAGGUAGUGGUCUUGCUGGGCUGAAAGUAGGGUGUUGGUUGGCUGUUCUGCAGGGGAAAGCCAUUGCAUCCCCACUUUGAGGGAGUGGAGGAACGUUUACGGAGUGACUACUAAGUGUCAGGUUCUUCAUGACCCCAACCUUAUGGGAUGGAAGGAGUGGACCCCUCGAUGAAGCCCCAUGUUUGUUUGUUUUUUUGUUUUUGUUGUUGCUGUUCGUUUUCUCCAUCCUCUGAUGGCUGCCUGAAACACCUUUGCCCCUACCUCCAAUGCUGCUGAUUCUCUUUGACUAAAGGGCUUGUGGGUAUUCUGGGGCCAACCUUCUAAUCUAGGUCCUUAGCUUCAUCGUCCCUUCAGUCCCCUUUGUCUUGAAAGGUGACACAUACGUAGCUUCAAGAAACUGAGCUCCGAGUAUCCCGGGGCCAUUAUCCUGUCCAGCAAGGGUGGGGUCAGGAGUAAGCUGAUGUGUCCUGGAGCACUAAGGGAUGUCACUCUCAUCUGCUCCCUCUUCUCCCCCUCCUCCCCACCCCUCCUGCUCCUUUUCCUUCUCUUCUUUCAAGCUUUGAGUGCGAACUUACGGUCAGGGAAGUCAGGGACACAGAAACCUGGCCCCAAAGCAUACAUCCCUCCCUAUUCUUGAUGCCCUGGCUUCAGAGACAUCAGCUUCAAAACUUUCUCAGUACCUUCAAAAGUACCUGGGGGGGGGAAGGGGGGGACACUAUGGAGUGUUUUAUGUGUAUCAGGUCCCACCUCAUCUCCCAGGCUCUGUGAGAUGAGAAGGAACGGCCCCCUUCAACUUGCAAACAAGGACAACGGGGCUCUCAGAAUGCAGCAGCUUGUCCUCAGAGGGGCUUCAUCUCCUGCAGAGAUGCCCUCCCCCCCACCCCCGCCCCAGGCCUGGAGUUGGCAGAGUAGCAGAUCUGGCUGCGACUGUCCCAUGAUCACGAAGACAGUGUCUCUGCAUCCCAGCAGAACCUGUCUGCUCGCUGAAGGCUAGGAAGGACCCAGAGUGACCUCUCAUGAUGACACCCGAGAAACAGGCUUAGGGAGGAAUAUUGAUUUUUUUCCCCAAAGACACAAUCACUGGGGUGCUCUUCUGCCCAGGCUGUCACCUGCCUAGUCAGCCUUUUCCCCUUUCUUUACAGGCACACUGCACAUGCGCAGUCUCUGGCUGCUGGCUCUGAGGAGCAUUCUAUUAGGGGCGGGCUGGUCCAUCUUUGAGGGGCGUCUGGUUGCCUCUCUACCUCCUGGACAGGCACCAGCCCACCGUACCCACUUCGUGAUUACAAGCAAGGGUGUAGGGGUGGGGCACAAGUUCAAAUCUAGUGACCCUAUUUUGGGGCAACUGAUCAUUGUAUAUCUAGAUUUGCCUAUCUGCAACUGGACGGACGUAGUAGAUAGACCACCCCAGAGCUUCCCACCCCUCCAGGAGGCCCUUGCCCAAGGACAAUCUGUACAUACUCAAGGGCAAUGGGUGUCCAUGGCCAUAGCAGUCAGGUCAACUUCAUAGCAAACUGAUUGCUGUUUGGGUCCUCCAAACUUGUUUUUUUUUUGGGGGGGGGCAAGCUUCCUGCUGGAGGUUUCCCUGACCCCACUGUCACUCAUCUCAAAAAUUAAUGCCCAUAGACCUCAAGAAGGCCUCUUGGUCAGCCAGAAACUAUACUAUAUUGUCUCAACCCUAAGGGGGCACACAUUUUACAGAUGUGCAAACUGAGGUUAAGGAAGGCCAGAUAACUUACCUCAAGUCAAACAGCUGGCAAGGUCAGGACUGACUUGCAGUGAUGGCUGGGCCCAACCCCAGGGCUGUGACCUUUGGGUAUAUAGUCUUCCCUCUCUCACUUAGCCCACAGCCCUAGACUCCAUCCAGAAGGGCCACAGGCCUCCUGUCUCAUUGGCAACCAGGCUGCCUGCUCUCACGGCCAGACUCUGGAGCAGCUUCUGGGUUUGGAAGGGACCUGUGUGUGUUUUGGGGGUCGGUGAACGGAGCCCCAUUGCAGCGAUGUGCACGGAGAAGGCUGUCUCAGCCUGAAGUGUCCCACUGGGUAUCUUGGACAUAGCAGAUUUUGUGUGUGUGUGUGUGUGUGUGUGUGUGAGCUAUAUUGGAAUAUCAGAGAAACUUCCUGGGCAGCAUCUGGAGUCAGGUGGCCCUGGACACAGGAAGGUGGCCAGUGUGGGCACCAGCAGGGUCCCUUUAAACCAUCUGCAGCAGUGCCCCCUCUGGGCCUGGCAUGGGAGGAGUUAAGCCGCCGUGGGCACCUUGGCACCGUAGCUCUGACCAGAAUGUCCGGCUCCCCACCCCCACAGCUUUUCUUCCUUUUUGCCUUUUUCCUUCUUAAUUAAUCAUACGCUGCUGCCCAAUUUAAAUAUGGAAAUACCCAGGCUGAGGCUCUGCAAUUAUUCAUGAAGCCAGGCCUGCUGUCCAGGCUCUUGGGCUGCGGGGAGCAUCAUGGCUUCGCCUUCUUUCUGUGAAAUUAUGUGCACAAAGGCAGCUCCUUAUCUGGGUGUGUGAACUAAAUAAAUAAAUAAGGGCUUUUGUUUGUUUGCGGGCUCCUGCAC